AUUGGGUACAACUGCAGCCCUAGCCUCAAUCCACAGCCGCCAUGCCCUCACUCCUCCUCCUCGCUACCACUCCCUUCCUGCUCCUCCUCGCGGCCGCACUCUCUCCCUCCUCACCACGGCACCCAUAGGCGGCUCCCUCCUCACCAUGGCCCCACCAUAGGCGGCUCCCUCCUCACCAUGGCCCCACCAUAGGCGGCUCAUGCGGUGGUGGAACGGACGGCGGCCUCAGCGUGUGGGCGGCGGCGGCGGCGUAUCUGGUGAACGAGCCCGCACCUCCCUGCCCUCCUCAUCACCCCUUCCCUCCUCGGCUUAAUGGGAGGUUCGCCGGUCAUGCCGCCUCUUCUGCCCAGCAGGACGAGCACGAGGUACACAUGAAUCUAUGAUCCAGAUUCUAGCUACACCCUUUACUACAACGAUCUCAAGCUUUACUGAAAAGUGUACUGUUUAUAUAGUUGAUAUCUUUAAUUCAUAUGGUCGUCCGCUGGAUGAUCACUGGUCUUCGGUUCAUACGGUGACUGGCUGGAAGCUUGCUGUUAUGUUUGGUUCAUAUGGUGGUCGACUGGAAGCUCGCAGUCUGAAUGAUCUCAUUGUCUAUGGCCGCCAAUACACACUUUUCAUUACUACCAGCCAGGGGUUCACGGGCCAUCAUGAUGAUAUACUUGGUUCUUUAAAGAAGAAUGGUAAGAACUAAGGAGGGUUGUCUUGUCCAAGAGCUCUACCGCGAUGGCAUCGCCACUCAGUGAUGCCUCAGCAGGAAGGCUAAUCACGGGGAGGCGUGACAUGGGUGGACUAAAAAGCUAAUUUGGUGCCCUCUCUCUUUGCCUCUUGUUUCCUCCAGCACCUUGAUUUUGAUGGUUAAUAUAUUGAAUUUCUAAACAUCUUUAAUUUAUAAGGAAUAUAGUAGUUAUAUGCUUUUCAUUUAUGAUAGAGAGAUUGAACCUAGGUGUCUUGCUUGCUGGUUUGCAGGAGGCCCCCCUGUCUGCUGUCAAAUGUGGAACGCCUUUAUGUCCUGAUCAUGUGAAAAGGUACCCUGUUGCAGUUUCUCUGUCUUCACGAAUUACUAUCGAACUGUAAGCCUGUUCUGAACUCUAAGCCCCAUGUAAAUCUGAUGGAAGAUUGGGCCAUUUAAUUUGAACCAAAAGGGUAAUAUACUCUCGAUUGCUUGAAUCUGUCCAGACCUGAAAAAUAUAUAUACUUUGAAAGCUUGAAAUAUGAGUAUGUAACUGAAGUAGUAGACAUUUCUUGUUCUUGGUCGUCACAGUUUUUGUUUAUUCCAUUAAAAAGAGAUGGAUUACAAUUACUUGACACACACACCCACACCCGGGCACAAGGUCUGUUAGUCCUUUAAAUUGAUUAUAUAUGACAUAAAAAGAGGCUGGAGCAUAGAUUGGGGUGACAUAAAUAUAUGAAUUGUUCAGAAAAUAACAAAUGGAACUCCUGGACACUGCCACCUCUGCAUCCACCUUGCUCCGCAUAGCAGCAUGUGUGUGAAAGCGGGGACAGGUGACCACGAGCAGAUGGCGUGAGCGGCAACGGCAACAUGCACGGUGCACAAAGUUCGGUAAGAUGGGCGUGACCUCCCCGUAGGCGUUUUAGGAUGGCGUGUAUAACGGCUUGGAACGUGCCUGCCCGACACACAGAAGGUAUGCCUCGGAGCACGCCGGCGGCAACAUGCACUGCGAGGCCCAAAGCAACCCAGCCAGUACAGAGCCCCUCCGUACAGGAGGAACCCUGCCACCGACGGAGCAAGCAACGGCGACGCGUAUGAGAGCUCAGCCAUGGUGGCCCGCGCGCCGUACGGGAGGAUCACGUUCGUGCUAGAGGGAAGCAACGAGCACAUCGGCGGCAAAAGGAGGUGUCCAGGAUCUGCACCGACACAAGGUGUCUCCGCAUAGCAGCAUGUGUGCGGCGGCAUGGACAGGUAACCACAUGCGGAUUUUGAGGAGCGGCACGAGCAUCAAGCAAUGGUUGAUGCCAAGGGAUUAUAGCAAGCAACUCUAGGUGGGUGAGUUCUUUCUUCUUGCAUGAAAUUGUUCUACUGAUUCCUCAAUGCUCUGUUCAUGACUUUGUUCUUGUUUUAUCCUUUUUUUACUUUCCAAUUUCGAUGCAAUGGAUAUUGAUUGUGGUAGUUUAGAUAGCACCUUGUAUUGCUUUGGUUUUAAUAAAGUAAACUAGAGCAGUGGUAUGUGCAUGUUCAAAUAAUAAUGGAUAAUAUUGUUUUUUUCGUGCUACAAAAUAUAUCUCAAAACCUUCCCCAUUUUUGUUUCUAGAGGACAAAGGACAUCUUGCAUUAGUUAGCUUUUUUUACAGUUCCUAUUCAUUGAACUGUAUGCAGUUUUCAGCUAGACCUCAUUUCACAGUUCCUAAUGCUUUUCUUUUUCUCUCUGGACUUGCAAAGUGAUUUUCAUCUGUUUUUUCUUUGCGUUGUGCUCAGGUAGUGUUCAUUACUAAGUUCAAAGUGUGCUCAGAUUAUCUAUCAGAUCAUGAAAUUCACUUUUUUUAUAAGCCUGUCCUUAGGUACACUGGAGAGAUAAAGUUCAAUCAACAGUACAAACUUCUAUUGAUUAGGUUCAUUGUUAAGUUCAGAUAUAAUUAUGUGUCUUGAAUUCUUGUUAUUUUCCAUUUCUUAUAGGAAAUAAAUCAUCAGUGGCAUACUUUGUUUGCCAUAUUGUUUUGGUUAUAGAUUUAAAGUGACCUUAACCCAAACAUCUGAAAAUGAAAUUAAAGUAUGUACAGAGAGAAUGUGUAGGCAUGAACUCCGGUAUGCCUAUUGUGAGUGAGACCGCUUUACUUUGCUUCAAAUAUAGUAGAUGCGGGGAAUGGUGCUCUUACAUACAACCUUCAGAGAUGUAUAUGUAGCCAUUUCCUCUGUACAAAGGAAUGGUAUUUUAGUUGGUUGUGAGUUUCAUUGCUGGAGAGGACCGAUGAUCUUCGUUUGCAAGUAUAUCUUCAGGUACCUAUGUAUUAUUCUGAUGCUCCCCUUGUUUGGGCGAUCUACCUAGUCUAUGCAUGGACAUGUAGUAUUGCCAUGUUCUCUUUGUUCAUGCAUCAUCCAACCUUGCUACAAAUUGAUGUUCUGUUGCUCUACGUACUGGUGUUAUAGACUGCCAUUUGUUUUGUCGAACAGUGUGCCAAAUUAAUUUUCCAUUACUCUAUGUACUGGUGUUACAUACUACUAUUUGUUUUGUCUGGUUAGUGAGUAAUUCAUUUGGUUAUGCCCUUUUCCUUUUUCAGCUAUCAUUUGCCAACCUCUUCAUUAUCUAACUAUAUACAUGUGUUGACAUAUGCGGUCAUCGGGGACGGCUGUAUUAUCUAACAAUUUUGGUUGAAGACUCCUGGGAUUUACCAUUGCGAAAUCAUGUGAGAAGAGGUGUUCCAGGAAUUCUUUUGAAAAGCAUGUGUAUACAGGCCAUGUGACUCACUAUCAUUUUUUGUCUUUGUGAUUUGCUGAAAAGUUCUUAGAAUGUUUGAUUGGUUUCAACUCAGAUGAAGUUGUUAGGAUGAUUAGGUUGUAGCUUCUGGGAAAUGUAAUGGAUUCAGAUAGAUUCUGGAGUGGUGCAACCCUUUGUACUGUGUGUUCAUCA